AGGUUCACUUAAUCAUACUUCCUAAUCUUCCCUAUUAAUUAAACAAUUUCAAUAAACUAGUGUCUUGUUAAGCGUUUGUGUAGAUCAGUCUAAGUCGUAAGAGACGGUGAAGUAAUAACUAAUCAGUUAUUAGGAUUAGAUUAUAUACCACAUGGUCGACAUAUCAUGUUAUCAUCGAGGGAGUCCAUGCAAAUCUACACUUCAAAUUAAUGUUGUUUGAAUGGCAAUAGCCAAUUGCACCCGUUUAAAACUUUUUUUUUUUUUUUUUGAGUAUAUCGAUAUUUUUAUACUAAGGAGAGGGGGAGUUCGGUUAAGCCACACAAUGGACAACCUAAUUUGGUAUCGAAUUCGCCAUCUAAGAGAUUCGAACCUAUAAUCUCUCACUUUUAAGCGAAAAAGAAUACUACCAGACCGUAGUAGCGCACAUGUUUACAACUUAAAUAAGGCUUAAACUUUUGGUUUUAAGAAAUCCUGACAAUACGAGAAGACAACAAGAAAUCAUAAUCAAACCUUAAUUAUUUCAAAAUAACUAGGUUCUCAUAAGAAGAGUUUUUUCAGUGUGCCCGAAACACUGGACCGCACACUAAAAUACCACUCCUCGACAAGAGCGUCCUGCACCGACGUAGGGGCACCUCGAUCUAUUCUAAUAUAUUUUGACAUUAAUUUUUUAUCCAAAUGUUAAGCAAAGAUAUUAAUGUUAAACAGAAACAAAGCAAAACAAAAUAAGAAAACAUUAAUUCAGGGAUAACGCUAAGUAGACUAAAAUUGUAGAUUAAAUU
rnacentral:lncRNA from 1 species